rnacentral:siRNA from 1 species
AGGGACCUUAAGAGAGACCACCA